UGGGUCCCUAUGCAGUCCAACUUGCUCCACGUCUGAAUGUCAGUCCUAGAUACAAAGCAGAGAAGUUUAAAGUAGGGAAUGGCUUCUUUUUUCCUUUUACAAAACAUAAUGAUGGUAAGACACAAUAUUGGAGCUGGGAUGAAGGAGAAGUAGAUAUAAAGAUAUGGAGGGGCAUCCCUUAAGGGAUAUAAAUAGUUUCACAGAUGAAAUGCCUAAAGGAGAGAGAGGAGAGACAGAUGAGGAGACAAUUAUCUCAAAGGAGGAAAAUGGUCAAAAGGCAAAGAAUAAUGUGUGUGAACUCUCCGGUGCAUGGCAAGGGGUGUGUGGGUGAACGAGCGCAGGGACCGGCAACAGCCAUACAUACCGGCUGCUGCAGUGGGGCUGGCAGCUCCAGGCGCCAGCACAGUUGUGGCUCUGCGUGAGGCUGGACCAGAUGGACGGAAGGUUGUCCCAACAAGUUGAGAAGACGCACAGUGGAAAAAGAACCAUUAGUGCUCACUCCAGGCCACAGACUCCGACCGGAACUGACAGCGCGGCCUCCAGGAUUGAAGCCAUCCCUGGCUUGAAGGAGCCUAAGGAGAUUUGCUAGUUUGAGUCCUGGGAGAUGAGAUGGGGAAGAUGGGCCCAAGCUGCAACAUGAAGGUCCAUGAUGAACAGUUGGCAUCUCCUACAGUGCCUGCCACUUGGUAAUGUUCAAUGCAGCCAAGGGAGCUAAGGUAAUGAACAAAACAGAGAAGUUCCUACCCUCCCUGAUGUUCAUUCUAGCAAAUGGAGACAGAUGAUAGAAAGUGCACAUCAUUGAGCAAGAGGGACACCAUGGAUAAUGGAAAGAUCUACGGCAAGGCUGGCUGUCUGCCCUGUCUAAGGAGGACGUACUGGACCAUCCUGCUCUGCACAUCCAGAUGUGUCCAUGAAUACAUCCAUAAAACGAUGGCCUGUGGAAUCCUAUAGGAAAAUGAUCCAGAGCCUGGGCGGUCAGAAGGAACAAACACUUGAUUUACAAAAUAAAUCUUCUAUGUUUAUGUUUUAAAGACACACAGAGGAAAAACAUUUUUAAAUUCAUGA
rnacentral:lncRNA from 1 species